CGUAGGUGGCAAGCGUUGUCCGGAUUUAUUGGGUUUAAAGGGUGCGUAGGUGGCCCUGUAAGUCAGUGGUGAAAUAUCUCAGCUUAACUGAGAGGGUGCCAUUGAUACUGCAGGGCUUGAGUACAGAUGAGGUAGGCGGAAUUGACAGUGUAGCGGUGAAAUGCAUAGAUAUCGUCAAGAACACCGAUAGCGAAGGCAGCUUACCAAGCUGUAACUGACACUGAGGCACGAAAGUGUGGGGAUCAAACAGGAUUAGAUACCCUGGUAGUCCACACUGUAAACGUUGAUGACUCGAUGUUGGCGAUACACAGCCAGCGUCCAAGAGCAAUCGUUAAGUCAUCCACCUGGGGAGUACGCCGGCAACGGUG
rnacentral:rRNA from 1 species